AUUGAACGCUGACGGCUGGCCUAACACAUGCAAGUCGCACGAGUGGCGGACGGGUGAGUAAUGUCUGGGAAACUGCCUGAUGGAGGGGGAUAACUACUGGAAACGGUAGCUAAUACCGCAUACCAUCGGAUGUGCCCAGAUGGGCUUAGCUAGUAGGUGGGGUAACGGCUCACCUAGGCGACGAUCCCGAGCUGGUCUGAGAGGAUGACCAUCCACACUGGAACUGAGACACGGUCCAGACGCCUACGGGAGGCAGGAGUGGGGAAUAUGGCAAAAUGGGCGCAAGACUGAUGCAGCCAUGCCGCGUGUAUGAAGAAGGCCUUCGGGUGGUAAAGGACUUUCAGCGGGGAGGCGUUAACCGCAGAAGAAGCACCGGCUAACUCCGUGCCAGCAGCCGCGGUAAUUC
rnacentral:rRNA from 1 species